rnacentral:rRNA from 1 species
AACGAACGCUGGCGGCGUGCCUAACACAUGCAAGUCGAACGAGAAUUUUCCUUUCGGGGGGAAUAGUAAAGUGGCGCAAGGGUGAGUAAAACGUGAAUAAUCUGCCUACGAAUUCGGGGAUAACGCGGGGAAACCGUAGUGCUAAUAACCGGAUAAGACCACGUCUCUUAUGUGAUGUGGCCAAAGGAGUCUCAAACUCCGUUUGUAGAUGAGUUCGCGGACCAUUAGCUUGUUGGAGGGAUAACAGCCCCCCAAGGCGACGAUGGUUAGCCGGCCUGAGAGGGUGAUCGGCCACACUGGAACUGAGACACGGUCCAGACUCCUACGGGGAGGCAGCAGUGGGGAAUAUUGCGCAAUGGGGCGAAAGCCUGACGCAGCAACGCCGCGUGAGGGAUG